rnacentral:rRNA from 1 species
GUGCCAGCAGCCGCGGUAAUACGUACUGUGCGAACGUUAUUCGGAAUCACUGGGCUUAAAGGGUGCGUAGGCGGCCAAUUAAGUAGGGUGUGAAAGGCUUCGGCUCAACCGGAGCAUUGCGCUCUAGACUGAUUGGCUCGAGUGAGAUAGGGGUGUGCGGAACUUCCAGUGGAGCGGUGAAAUGUGUUGAUAUUGGAAGGAACGCCGGUGGCGAAAGCGGCACACUGGGUCUUAACUGACGCUGAGGCACGAAAGCCAGGGGAGCGAACGGGAUUAGAUACCCCUGUAGUCC